rnacentral:rRNA from 1 species
UACGAGGGGGGCAAGCGUUGUUCGGAAUUAUUGGGCGUAAAGGGUGCGUAGGCGGUCUGACAAGUCUGAUGUGAAAUCUAUGGGCUCAACCCAUAGUCUGCAUCGGAAACUGUCGGGCUUGAGUAUGGGAGAGGUGAGUGGAAUUUCCGGUGUAGCGGUGAAAUGCAUUGAGAUCGGAAAGAACACCAACGGCGAAAGCACUCUGCUGGGCCGACACUGACACUGAGAGACGAAAGCUAGGGGAGCAAAUGGG